CUCCGACCUCAGAUCAGACGAGAGUACCCGCUGAAUUUAAGCAUAUCACUAAGCGGAGGAAAAGAAACUAACUAGGAUUCCCCUAGUAAUGGCGAAUGAAGCGGGAAGAGCCCAGCACCGAAUCCCGCAGCCUUGCGCUGCAGGGAACUGUGGUGUUUAGGACGCCUAUUGCUGCAGCGUUCGGGUGCCCAGGUCCUCCUGAUCGGGGCCUCUCCCAGAGUGUGUGUCAGGCCUUUACUGGCACCCGACGCAGUGGCUCUGAACGUCCUUGGAGUCGGGUUGUUUGAGAAUGCAGCCCAAAGCGGGUGGUAAACUCCAUCUAAGGCUAAAUACCGACACGAG
rnacentral:rRNA from 1 species